CUGUGUUAGUUUAUCUGUUUGUUUGUUUCUUGUUUAAAUAAUAAAGACGGUGACCUGCACCUGCAUCCGCCUCCAGUCCCGAUCCGUGACAAAAUACUGCGCCAAAAAUGCGGAAGCAGCAGGUCGCUAUGAGCGCCGCCGAAGAGGCCAGUAUUUGGGCGCUUCUCCGUUCGUCCCUGGAGUUGAGCAAACAGCUCGCAGAGGACAUUUCUCAGUGCAAAGCCGAGCUGCGCGCCACGUCGUCCCUCGCGCCAUAUACCCAGAAAUUUUUUUGGGGGGGGGCAGUGAGGACAGCAGAGCUCCAGCCUGAGGCCUAUGGGGAGGUCUCAGCUGUGGAGCUCUCACCUGAGGUCAACAUGGCGACCUCAGAGGGACAGGCUGAGGAGGCUGCCCCGCUGCCCUGCACAGCCAAGGAGGCCGCCCUGCUGCCCAGUCCAGCUGAGGAGGCCGUCCCGCUGCCCUGCACGGCCGAGGAGGCCGUCCCGCUGCCCUGCACGGCCGAGGAGGCCGUCCCGCUGCCCAGCACGGCCGAGGAGGCCGUCCCGCUGCCCCGCCCGGCCCGAGGAGGCCGCCCAGCCCUCCAGUGCCGCCGAGGGUGGCACCCAGAGUUCCAGAGCUGCCGGGGGUGGCGCCCAGCAUCCCAGGGGCGGUGUCCUGCGUCCCAGUGCCGCCAGGGGCGGUGCUCUGGCUUUCAACCCUGGUGGGGAUGCUGCUCUGCUCCUCUGCUGCCCGACGGAGGCUGCUUCGCUUUCUGUCGUAGCGAAAGACAGUUCGCACAGGGGCCCGGGACCCCUGUUGGAGGGGGGUUCUUGGUGCUCCGGGGGGAGCACCCUUUGGAGGGGGGUUCUGUUACGCCACGGCCAGCAGAGGGCAAUGCGGUACAUCUGCUGACUGGUCACGUGACUCUUUUGUUUUCGUUCACUUCCCGCUUGGACACUGAGUGUGAUUUGCACUCUGCCUUGGACACUUUACAGAUUGCAAAUGAAGUUUAUUUCCCCAGUAUGUAUCCUGCAGGAUACAAACAAUCACCCUUGUCCUGCAGAAUUUCAGAUCUAUCCUGCACAAAAGUCCUGCAGGAAGAGUGUGUUUUAAAUAGACCUGCAUUACAAAAUUCCUGGAGGAUAUCAUUCCUGCAUAUAAUUUUUUCCUUCAUAGAAAUCCUGCAGGUAUUUCUACAGGAAAAUGAGCUGAAAAUCCAGUAGGAUAUACGCAUAAUAUUCCUGUAGGGUUUUUUGUAAGGGCUGCUCAAAUAACCCAACUGUGAAUUAGUACUCCAAAUGAAAUACAAUAACGCAGGUUAAUUAAAAGAGUAUCUUGUAGAUCUUUCAAAAAUUAUUUGCAAUUCUAAACUCCAGCUCCAGUGAACACUUAAAGCCUCCAAGGCAAGGGAUUGACAUAAACAGAAGCAAAUGUUUUAGCAAAUGCAUUUUUCUGAAUAACUAGAGACAGAAAUGGUGACAAAUAAAUAUGCAGGGGUUAUCUCAGAUCAACUAAACUGCAGUCGAGUUGUUGAUAGGGCUUUGUUUUUCACCUGGAGAGACAAUUUAGCAAGUGCAGAGCAACCUAAUAGCCAGAUACACAAUUAUAUGCUGGGCUGACCACACGCCAGUAUACUCAGUUCAUGUUCUAUGUAUGUAUUCAAAUUUCUGUGAAAAAUCUCCAUAUGUGGACAAAAUGAGACACUGAAUGAAUGUAGAGGGAUCAAUAGACAGGAAAAAGCUGAAGCUCGAGGACACUUUGUGCUCUGAGCUAAAGGCUGCAGCUUUACUCAAUGUUACUUUAGUGAGACGUAACUCUGAUUAUUUUAGUUUUAUUGGUAGAGCUAUGCUGCUUUUAACCUUGGCAUAUAGAGUGCCCUCCAGUAAUAUUGGCAUCCUUGGUAAAUAUGAGGAAAGAAGGCUGUGGAAAAAUUAUCUUUAGUAUUUAAACUUUUGAUCUUUUGUUAAAAAAAAUCACAAAAAUUCUCUGCUCUCAUGUAUAUCAAACAAUUGCAAACACAUCACAGGUUUAUCAAAAAUAUCUUUGUUAAAUAUCGGUGUGAAACAAUUAUUAGGACCCUUUAAGUCAAUACUUAUCUGUUUUCAUUUAAUAUCUGUUGAUAUUUGAUGGUCCAUGAUGCCAUGCAUCCUAACAAAAUGUCCAGGUCCUCUGGCAGAAAAACAACAUCAAAACAUUAUAGAGACACCAUAUUUAAUCAUGGACAUGAGGUACUUUUCCAUAUGGUUACCUCUCUGUGUGCACCAAAACCACCUCUGGUGAUUAUUGCUUAAAAGCUCUAUUUUGGUUUCAUCUGAAAAUAGAACCCGAUCCCAUUUGAAGUUCCAAUAGUGAACUGAAGAUGCUUGAGUUUCUUUUUGGAU
ensembl:lncRNA